UACGAAGGGGGCUAGCGUUGCUCGGAAUCACUGGGCGUAAAGCGCACGUAGGCGGAUCUUUAAGUCAGGGGUGAAAUCCCAAGGCUCAACCUUGGAACUGCCUUUGAUACUGGGGAUCUCGAGUCCGGAAGAGGUUGGUGGAACUCCGAGUGUAGAGGUGAAAUUCGUAGAUAUUCGGAAGAACACCAGUGGCGAAGGCGGUCAACUGGUCCGGCACUGACGCUGAGGUGCGAAAGCGUGGGGAGCGAACAGG
rnacentral:rRNA from 1 species